rnacentral:lncRNA from 12 species
GAAGCGGAACGGAUCCCGCGGGGAGCGAGAGUCCAGCGCCGGGAAGGAGUCGAACCGGAAGGAGCUGGAAAAGAACGGGACAGGUCCAGGCGCUGGUUGAUCUUGGCAAUGAUGGAGUCAGAGCUGGAUCCCAGCUCUGCUGAGCCUGAGGAUCCCAGUCCCAGGGAGGAUCCUGAUCCCAACCCUGAUCCUGCUCCAAAACCGGAUCCUGAUCCUGCUCCAAAACCGGAUCCUGCUCCGAAAGUGGAUCCUGCUCCUGAUCCGAAGGUGGAUCCUGAUCCGAAGGCAGCUCCAGAUCCCGAUCCAAAGGUGGAUCCCGAGGAUCCCAAGCCCAAAGCAGAUCCAGAUGAUCCAAAGGCAGUUCCUGACCCCGAGCCAAAGGUGGAUCCCGACGAUCCAAAGCCGGAUCCCGACGAUCCGAAGGCAGCUCCAGAUCCCGAGGAUCCAAAGGCAGCUCCAGAGCCCGAGGUUCCCUCGCUGGAUCCCAGCCCCAGCUCUGCAGCCUUGUUAAUUAAUUAGGGACCAAUCAAAAGGGGAAAUGAAGAAUUAAGAGGGACAAGAUCCCAGCAGGAAAAGCCCCAGGAUCAUUCCAAGGAAAUCUGGGGAGUUUAGAAUUCAUAACCCUCAUAGCCUGAGGAUGAAUGGGUUAAUUAGUCAUUAAUCAACUAAUUAGGGGAUCAUUCAAAAGGGAAAUGAAGAAUUCGAGAUGUGGGAUCCCAGCAGGAAAAGCCCCGGGAUCACUGCAAGGGAAUUUGGGGGUGCAGAACUCAUAGCCCUCGUAGCCUGGGGAUGAAAGGGUUAAUUAGCCAUUGAUCAACUAAUUAGGGCAUCAUUCAAAAGGGAAAUGAAGAAUUAGAGGGGUGGGAUCCCAGCAGGAAAAGCCCCAGGAUCAUCCCAAGAAGUCAUUCAAAGGGAAUUUGGGUAAUUAGGGGAUCAUUCAAAAGGGAAAUGAAGAAUUCGAGAUGUGGGAUCCCAGCAGGAAAAGCCCCGGGAUCAUCCCAAGGGGUCACUGCAAGGGAAUUGGGGGGUGUAGAACUCAUAGCCCUUGUAGCCUGGGGAUGAAAGGGUUAAUUUAGUCACUAGUUAAUUAAUUAGGGACCAAUCAAAAGGGGAAAUGAAGAAUUAAGAGGGACAAGAUCCCAGCAGGAAAAGCCCCAGGAUCAUUCCAAGGAAAUCUGGGGAGUUUAGAAUUCAUAACCCUCAUAGCCUGAGGAUGAAUGGGUUAAUUAGUCAUUAAUCAACUAAUUAGGGGAUCAUUCAAAAGGGAAAUGAAGAAUUACAGAUGUGGGAUCCCAGCAGGAAAAGCCCCAGGAUCAUCCCAAGAAGUCAUUCAAAGGGAAUUUGGGGUUGUAGGACUCCUAACCCUCGUAGCCUGGAGAUGAAAGAGUUAAUUUAGUCAUUAAUCAAUUAACCAGGCAGGGGCUGAUUAAAAAUGGAAAUGAAGAAUUAGAGAGGAUGCAGGAAUUGGGGAAGAAUCUGCCCAGGAUUCCCAGAGGAUCCCCAGACCCACCUUGCCAGCUGGUCGCGUUCGUGGCGUAGGAACCUGGGGAAAGAAAGAGGAAAAAUGGAAUUUUUCUAUGGAAAAUGUGGAAUUUUGGGGUGAAAGCAGUGGGGGAUUUGUGGGAAAAGGGGGAAUUUUGG